GAUAAGCGCCGGUAAGGUGAUAUGAACCGUUAUAACCGGCGAUACCCGAAUGGGGAAACCCAGUGUGACUCGUCACACUAUCAUUAACUGAAUCCAUAGGUUAAUGAGGCGAACCGGGGGAACUGAAACAUCUAAGUACCCCGAGGAAAAGAAAUCAACCGAGAUUCCCCCAGUAGCGGCGAGCGAACGGGGAGGAGCCCAGAGCCUGAAUCAGCAUGUGUGUUAGUGGAAGCGUCUGGAAAGGCGCGCGAUACAGGGUGACAGCCCCGUACACAAAAGCGCAUGUGCUGUGAGCUCGAUGAGUAGGGCGGGACACGUGGUAUCCUGUCUGAAUAUGGGGGGACCAUCCUCCAAGGCUAAAUACUCCUGACUGACCGAUAGUGAACCAGUACCGUGAGGGAAAGGCGAAAAGAACCCCGGCGAGGGGAGUGAAAAAGAACCUGAAACCGUGUACGUACAAGCAGUGGGA
rnacentral:rRNA from 1 species